rnacentral:rRNA from 1 species
UACGUAGGUGGCAAGCGUUGUCCGGAUUUACUGGGCGUAAAGGAUGCGUAGGCGGACAUUUAAGUCAGAUGUGAAAUACCCGAGCUUAACUUGGGUGCUGCAUUUGAAACUGGGUGUCUAGAGUGCAGGAGAGGUAAGUGGAAUUCCUAGUGUAGCGGUGAAAUGCGUAGAGAUUAGGAAGAACACCAGUGGCGAAGGCGACUUACUGGACUGAUAACUGAC